AGCCGGUGAAGGAAGCCGCAGGCGCGGAUGGAGGCGAAGAGAUCAGGAGCAGUAAAGGAACACUCUCUUCCCCAGUCAGCUGGGAUACGGAUUUUGUAAGGCCUAGGGACUUUGUCUUUGGAGGUCCUGUCUCCAUAAGGCUUCCCAAAACAAAGAAUGUUCAGAUUGGACUGGCCUUAAAAUGCAGUAUUUAAAACAGCAACAUGUCUGACAGAUCCGAGAAAUGAAAUACGUCCAUUUCUUUUGGCAAGGAGCAGAAGGCAACAUAAAGCAGCUGCAAGAAUUAAUUCAUGGAGAUAGUUGACAUUUUCGAGCUGACUGCCUCUUAGAGAAAAUGAUGUCAUUCUCCAGCAGCCUAAUGACAGUCAUCAGCCUGAGAGGACACAUGCUAAUAAGACUAUCACCAGCAAAGAAUUUUCUGAGCAAAUGUGUACUGGAGACCUUCUGAGGAACCCACUAGAGCCUGCACAUCCCCUUUUCCUAGCAAGGUCAACUGGAAAACAGAAAUUCAGCAAGGUUAAGUGACUUGCCCAAAAUCAGAGCUGAAACUCUAUUUCUCUUCCUCCAAAUCCAGUGUUCUUUCCAAGAUAACGUGCAACUUUCCUUUGGAAUGAUCAGCAGAAUGUCAAAUAAGGAAAGGACAUGUAGAGUUCAUGGGAGGAGACAUUACUUCUGGCUGCAGAAUUAUGGAGGCUUUAUGGGAGACGCCGUAUAUUUUAUCUGUGCGCCUUGAUCACGUGUCUGACCAUGGACAGAGAAACCAGCCUAAUGAGCCUUCUUUACAGGUGACCCUCUAGCCCUUGGUGAACAUCUUGUUUUUAUUCUUUCUUAAUUCCAACACUUAUUCUUGACAACUUUACAAAUGAACAAAUCUUAUUUACUAAAUUGUUGAUGUAGUUUUUGUCUAACACAGGGCUGAUUUUACCCUUGAGAGACGGACACAAGGCUUCAUUUAGGGGAGGAUUAGGUUUGAUGUUUAUUCACUGCACGAGGCAGAUUGGUUUUAGAGACAUGGGUUACAGUCUUGGCUUUUCCUGUUACUGCUUUUGGGUCUUUAGAUGAACAUUUUGCUUUCUCUAGACUCCUUCUUUAUAUAUAAAACAACUACAUCUUUGGACCUAUAAUAACUGUUGGUGGUCUCCAAUGAGACAAGGAUAUGAGGGUGCUUUGUGAAUGGCUACCCAAAUGUAAAAUAUUAUUAUUAUUAUUAUCA
rnacentral:lncRNA from 1 species